rnacentral:rRNA from 1 species
CCUACGGGUGGCAGCAGUGGGGAAUAUUGGACAAUGGGCGAAAGCCUGAUCCGGCCAUGCCGCGUGUGUGAAGAAGGCCUUCGGGUUGUAAAGCACUUUCAGUGGGGAAGAAAGCCUUGGGGCUAAUACCCUCGAGGAAGGACAUCACCCACAGAAGAAGCACCGGCUAACUCCGUGCCAGCAGCCGCGGUAAUACGGAGGGUGCGAGCGUUAAUCGGAAUUACUGGGCGUAAAGCGCGCGUAGGCGGUCUGAUAAGCCGGUUGUGAAAGCCCCGGGCUCAACCUGGGAACGGCAUCCGGAACUGUCAGGCUAGAGUGCAGGAGAGGAAGGUAGAAUUCCCGGUGUAGCAGUGAAAUGCGUAGAGAUCGGGAGGAAUACCAGUGGCGAAGGCGGCCUUCUGGACUGACACUGACGCUGAGGUGCGAAAGCGUGGGUAGCAAACAGGAUUAGAUACCCUUGUAGUC